AGUCGAGCGGUAACAGGAAUUAGCUUGCUAAUUUGCUGACGAGCGGCGGACGGGUGAGUAACGCGUAGGAAUCUGCCUGGUAGUGGGGGACAACAUGUGGAAACGCAUGCUAAUACCGCAUACGCCCUACGGGGGAAAGGAGGGGAUCUUCGGACCUUUCGCUAUCAGAUGAGCCUGCGUGAGAUUAGCUAGUUGGUGGGGUAAAGGCUCACCAAGGCGACGAUCUCUAGCUGGUCUGAGAGGAUGAUCAGCCACACUGGGACUGAGACACGGCCCAGACUCCGACGGGAGGCAGCAGUGGGGAAUAUUGGACAAUGGGCGCAAGCCUGAUCCAGCCAUGCCGCGUGUGUGAAGAAGGCCUUCGGGUUGUAAAGCACUUUCAGAAGUGAGGAAGGGUGUGUAGUUAAUACCUACAUAUUUUGACGUUAGCUUCAGAAGAAGCACCGGCUAACUCUGUGCCAGCAGCCGCGGUAAUACAGAGGGUGCAAGCG
rnacentral:rRNA from 1 species